ACGCUCGACACCUACGGGAGGCAGCAGUGGGGAAUAUUGCACAAUGGGGGAAACCCUGAUGCAGCAACGCCGCGUGAAGGAAGACGGUUUUCGGAUUGUAAACUUCUGUUCUUAGUGAAGAUAGUGACGGUAGCUAAGGAGCAAGCCACGGCUAACUACGUGCCAACAGCCGCGGUAAUCUGAGCGGGCUGCAAGGC
rnacentral:rRNA from 1 species